CAAAUACUCCCUCCGUCCGGAAAUACUUGUCAUCAAAAUGGAUAAAAGGAAAUGUAUCUAGACGUAUUUUAGUUUUAGAUACAUCUCUUUUUAUCCAUUUUGAUGACAAGUUUUUUCGGACGGAGGGAGUAGAAA
rnacentral:pre_miRNA from 1 species